rnacentral:rRNA from 1 species
CUCGCACGAAAAGUGCUUGCCUCUACAUAUUCUCAGGGUCUAUGUUUCAUACACACUUAUAACACAUCGAAUGUUUGUUUACUGGUUGUAAUAGACCUCUAAAUUAAAUACAACUUUCAGCAACGGAUCUCUUGGCUCUCGCAUCGAUGAAGAACGCAGCGAAAUGCGAUAAGUAAUGUGAAUUGCAGAAUUCAGUGAAUCAUCGAAUCUUUGAACGCACCUUGCGCUCUUUGGUAUUCCAAAGAGCAUGCCUGUUUGAGUGUCAUUAAAUUCUCAACCUGACUUCGGUUUUACGACUGUUGACAGGCUUGGAUUUGGGGGUUGCCGGCAUCUGUAAAAAGAGAGUCAGCUCCUCUUGAAAGUAUUAGCAGUAACUAGACGACUGUUCCUUGAUGUGAUAAUUAUCUACGUCUUGUGCAAUAGAAAUCAUUAUAACGUUAUGCUUCUAACUGUCUGUUAACUCGGACUGUUUGCUUGUCAAACAUUAUGACUCUUGACCUCAAAUCAGGUAGGACUACCCGCUGAACUUAAGCAUAUCAAUAAGCGGAGGAAAAGAAACUAACAAGGAUUCCCCUAGUAACUGCGAGUGAAGCGGGAAAAGCUCAAAUUUAAAAUCUGCUAGCCUUUGGUUGACCGAGUUGUAAUUUAGAGAAGCGUCUUCCGCGC